GGAGCGGUGCCCGAGCGGCUGAAGGGGCACGCUUGGAAAGCGUGUGUACGGGUAACACUGUACCGUGGGUUCGAAUCCCACCCGCUCCG
rnacentral:tRNA from 1 species